rnacentral:lncRNA from 1 species
AGUCGGCAGCUCACUAUCCUCCACUAGUCCCAGGUUUGACCGUUUCUCAAACCGUGCCUUCCCAUUUAUGCUGCAUCCGCGCCCUGAAUCUGAAAUUGGUCGUCCUGCCACGCCGCCUCACCGCGGUAUAAGGUCGUCCCAUCCUGAAUGGCCGGUGCGCAGACUCAAUUGCGACUUUGAGGCUGUCAGCCGCCACCCGGCAACCUUCCAGUGAACAGGAUUCUGGGUUUCUCAAAGCUGUAAUUGGAGGGCCACUCCAGAGGUGUUAAAGCUCCAGCACUUCGAGCCUGCCUCGUGGGAAAGUCUUAGGCUGAGUCUGUAGGUGUCUGCAGUUAAGAAGCCAGCGGUCUGCAUAUGAUUGCUCAGGGGUGGUGGCUGGGUCCAACAGCAUUCACUACAGGCCUGCCUUGAAUACCACCUAGCGCAGUGCUCCGCAUAUCACAGGUAUGGGAAGCUUUGGAUUCAUAAGCUCAGUAAAUUAAGGAAUUUCACAUUAUGAACUCAAUUUGAGAUGGGUUGGACUGGUGAUACCUGGAAGGGGUAAAUGAGAACCCACUCUGGAGGCACUUUACGCCUGAGGGAGCAUCCACAAAUAAUUUUUCAGGGGCUGGAAACCUAACAAUUUCACUUCCUAGACAACUUGCUAAAAGUCACCUAAAGACAGUCUGGUUACUGCCAAAGAUAUGCUUUCAAAUAAGAUUUGGAUAAAGAAGGGAGGUAGAUGCCUUUUUUCAGCAGUGGAGUGAUGUCUAGACCAGUAGAUGUACGCAUCUAAGUGAAUUCAUCACCAGCAACAAUUUCCAGAAACUUCCUGACCUCCAGAUUGCAGCUUCAUUAGUGUGAGUUUAAAGCCAACUAGAUGCCAUUCUCAGAUUCCACGCAUAUGGCCAAGGGUCCAGGAAAUAAGAAGAAACAGGUUGAGGGGUUGGUGUUAUGGGGCAUUUACUUGAAUUUUCUAUGCUAUAAUUGUCUCAUCUUUAAAACGGUGAUAAUAAUAAAAUUGUCAGUUAUUAAAUAAAUUAACACAGUGAAAAAAAA